rnacentral:rRNA from 1 species
UUCGCAAUGCCCGAAAGGGUGACGAAGCGACGCCGCGUGUGGGAAGAAGGCCUUCGGGUUGUAAACCACUGUCGGGAGUUAGGAAAUGUAAGGGUGCUAAUAGUAUCCUUACUUGACUAAGGCUCCGGAGGAAGCCACGGCUAACUCUGUGCCAGCAGCCGCGGUAAUACAGAGGCGACAAGCGUUGUUCGGAAUUAUUGGGCGUAAAGAGCACGUAGGCGGCCGUGUAAGUCAGUUGUGAAAGCCUUCUGCUUAACGGAAGAACAGCAGCUGAUACUGCAAGGCUAGAGUGCGGAAGGGGAGAGUGGAACUUCUGGUGGAGCGGUGAAAUGCGUAGAUAUCAGAAGGAACACCGGCGGCGAAGGCGACUCUCUGGCCCGAAACUGACGCUGAGUGUGCGAAAGCUAGGGGAGCAAACGGGAUUGGAUACCCCGGUAGUCCUAGCCGUAAAC